rnacentral:tRNA from 2 species
CGGGAAGUAGCUCAGCUUGGUAGAGCACUUGGUUUGGGACCAAGGGGUCGCAGGUUCGAAUCCUGUCUUCCCAA